GACGAACGCUGGCGGCGUGCUUAACACAUGCAAGUCGAACGGAAAGGCUCCAACUUGCUGGAGUACUCGAGUGGCGAACGGGUGAGUAACACGUGGGUGAUCUGCCCUGCACUUCGGGAUAAGCCUGGGAAACUGGGUCUAAUACCGGAUAGGACCGCACUUUGGUGUGUGUGGUGGAAAGGUUUUUCUGGUGUGGGAUGAGCUCGCGGCCUAUCAGUUUGUUGGUGGGGUAAUGGCCUACCAAGACGGCGACGGGUAGCCGGCCUGAGAGGGUGGACGGUCACAUUGGGACUGAGAUACGGCCCAGACUCCUACGGGAGGCAGCAGUGGGGAAUAUUGCACAAUGGGGGAAACCCUGAUGCAGCGACGCCGCGUGGGGGAUGAAGGCCUUCGGGUUGUAAACUCCUUUCGCUAGGGACGAAGCUUUUUGUGACGGUACCUGGAGAAGAAGCACCGGCUAACUACGUG
rnacentral:rRNA from 1 species